AAGAACCCCGGGAGGGGAGUGAAAUAGUACCUGAAACCUUGUGCUUACAAGCAGUUACAGCCCGUUAAAGGGUGGUAGCGUACUUUUUGUAGAACGGUCCGGCGAGUUAUAGUCACUAGCGAGCUUAAGACAUUCAGUGUUGGAGGCGUAGGGAAACCGAGUCUGAACAGGGCGAAUGAAGUUAGUGGCCAUAGACCCGAAACCAUGUGACCUAGCCAUGAGCAGGAUGAAGUGGAGGUAAAGCUCCAUGGAGGUCCGAACGCACGUUCGUUGCAAUGACCGGCGAUGACUUGUGGCUAGCGGUGAAAUUCCAAUCGAACUUGGAGAUAGCUGGUUCUCCCCGAAAUAGCUUUAGGGCUAGCGUUGGGAAUGAGUUUAGCGGAGGUAAAGCACUGAAUGAGCUAGGGGGCGCAAGCUUACUGAACUCUAUCAAACUAAGAAUGCCGCAUAAAUGCUUCCCAGCAGUCAGACUGCGAGUAAUAAAAUCCGUGGUCAAAAGGGUAACAGCCCAGACCCACAGCUAAGGUCCCCAAUACAUGCUAAGUGGAAAACGAUGUGAGAUUGCAUAAACAACCAGGAUGUUGGCUUAGAGGCAGCCACUCGUUCAAAGAGUGCGUAAUAGCUCACUGGUCGAGUGAUCUUGCGCGGAAAAUUUAACGGGGCUAAGCAUGUAACCGAAGCUUGGGAUUGCGCAUUGCGCAGUGGUAGGGGAGCGUCGUGUAGGGGGUGAAGUACGAUCGAGAGGACGUGUGGACUGUACACGAGUGAGAAUGCCGGAAUGAGUAGCGAGAAUUAUGUGGGAAUCAUAAUGGCCGAAAAUCUAAGGUUUCUUGGGGAAGGUUCGUCCGCCCAAGGUAAGCCGGGAGCUAAGGCGAGGCCGAAAGGCGUAGUCGAUGCACAUACGGUUGAAAUUCCGUAGCCACCUUAUCGUUAAAAGCUGACACAUAGAGAUAGCCGAACCCGGGCGUUGGUUGACCCGGGCGAAAGGGACCGAACUACAGUAGGGAAGUCGGCGAUGCUCUGUGGCGAGAAAAGGCGAAGAUAGGGUGCCCGUACCGCAAACCGACACAGGUAGAUGAGGAGAGAAUCCUAAGGCCAACGGGAGAAGGGUUGUUAAGGAACUCGGCAAAUUGACCCCGUAACUUCGGGAGAAGGGGUGCCCGCGCAAGCCGGCCGCAGAGAAUAGGCCCAAGCAACUGUUUACCAAAAACACAGGUCUCUGCUAAAUCGAAAGAUGACGUAUAGGGGCUGACGCCUGCCCGGUGCUGGAAGGUUAAGAGGAGGACUUAGCGCAAGCGAAGGUCUGAAUUUAAGCCCCAGUAAACGGCGGCCGUAACUAUAACGGUCCUAAGGUAGCGAAAUUCCUUGUCAGGUAAGUUCUGACCCGCACGAAUGGCGUAACGAUUUGGGCACUGUCUCAACAGCCUACCCGGCGAAAUUGUAGUACCGGUGAAGAUGCCGGUUACCCGCAACUAGACGGAAAGACCCCAUGGAGCUUUACUGCAGCUUAAUACUGAGAUUCGGUAAUUCAUGUACAGGAUAGGUGGGAGACUUAGAAACAGGGUCGUCAGGCACUGCGGAGUCACCCUUGGGAUACCACCCUUGGAUUGCUGGGUUUCUAACCUGCGGCCAUGAAUCUGGUCGGGGGACACUGUUAGGCGGGCAGUUUGACUGGGGCGGUCGCCUCCUAAAAAGUAGCGGAGGCGCUCAAAGCUUGGCUCAGCAUGGAUGGAAAUCAUGCAAUGAGUGUAAACGUAUAAGCCAAGUUGACUGCGAGACCGACGGGUCGAGCAGGUACGAAAGUAGGAGUUAGUGAUCCGGUGGUAUGUGAGUGGAAAUGCCAUCGCUCAACGGAUAAAA
rnacentral:rRNA from 1 species